rnacentral:rRNA from 1 species
ACGGGGGGUGCAAGCGUUGUUCGGAAUUAUUGGCGGAAAGAGGGGGUAGGCGGCUGGAUAAGGCAGAUGUGAAAUCCCUGGGCUUAAACCAGGACGUGCAUUUGAAACUGUCCAGCUUGAGUAAGGGAGAGGAAAGUGGAAUUCCUGGUGUAGAGGUGAAAUUCGUAGAUAUCAGGAGGAACACCGGUGGCGAAGGCGACUUUCCGGCCCUAUACUGACGCUGAGACGCGAGAGCGUGGGUAGCAAACAG